GUAGUACUCCCUCCGUCCGGAAAUACUUGUCAUCAAAAUGAAUAAAAGGGGAUGUAUCUAGAUGUAUAUUAGUUCUAGAUACAUAUUUCUUAUCCAUUUUGAUGACAAGUAUUUUCGGACGGAGGGAGUACUUG
rnacentral:pre_miRNA from 1 species